UAAAGCGCACGCAGGCGGUCUGUCAAGUCGGAUGUGAAAUCCCCGGGCUCAACCUGGGAACUGCAUUCGAAACUGGCAGGCUUGAGUCUUGUAGAGGGGGGUAGAAUUCCAGGUGUAGCGGUGAAAUGCGUAGAGAUCUGGAGGAAUACCGGUGGCGAAGGCGGCCCCCUGGACAAAGACUGACGCUCAGGUGCGAAAGCGUGGGGAGCAAACAGGAUUAGAUACCCUGGUAGUCCACGCCGUAAACGAUGUCUACUUGGAGGUUGUGCCCUUGAGGCGUGGCUUCCGGAGCUAACGCGUUAAGUAGACCGCCUGGGGAGUACGGCCGCAAGGUUAAAACUCAAAUGAAUUGACGGGGGCCCGCACAAGCGGUGGAGCAUGUGGUUUAAUUCGAUGCAACGCGAAGAACCUUACCUGGUCUUGACAUCCACGGAAGUUUUCAGAGAUGAGAAUGUGCCUUCGGGAACCGUGAGACAGGUGCUGCAUGGCUGUCGUCAGCUCGUGUUGUGAAAUGUUGGGUUAAGUCCCGCAACGAGCGCAAC
rnacentral:rRNA from 1 species